rnacentral:lncRNA from 1 species
GAAGGAGGAAGAGGACAUUUCUGAGUGCCUCUGAUUCACAGGAAUAGCUUAUUUAUGUUGGUUGUAAUUAUGUCAUUCCAGGUGAUGAAUAAGAGAGAAAGAAAGAAAAGGCAGGACCAGAAGAGCCACAAACAAUAUUUCAGGACAGAUAUAAUGUUUCUCGAAGGCAAGAAGGAGAAAGACAGCCAUGAAUCCUCACUUUCACAGAAUCAGUGAAGAGAAGACAGGCAACAUAUGCCACUGGGGUAGAGUCCACAUCAUGGUAAGACCAAUGGAGCCUUUACUACUUAGUCAUUAUGUUUACAACCAGCCUUUAGAGAGGUGCAUGCAAAAGCA